AUGUGUCUUCUCCCUCCCCUCAUUCCCUCCACCUGUCUCUUUGUCCAUCUGUCUCUCUCUGCCCUGCUCCUCAUCCUGGCUGGAGCAGUUCCCCAUGAUCUCUCUGACGGUAGGAGGAGGCCCCAUUGCACCUUAGAUCCUUUUGCCAGUGUUUCCAAGAGCACCCGGUGCCUGAUGCCCGCCGAGCUGCUCUGUUCUGCCACGUUGUGUCCUCCGGGCCAGGCUCCACCCAGCACAGCUGCCUUCUCCUCUUCAAGCUGGAGCGCCAUCUCUCAACUAAGUGCCUGCAUUCACGUUACAGGGCAUGAGUUCUCAGAGAGCGCUCCUUCCACGGGAGCCUUCCAGAACAGUCCCUGCCACUCCGGUGCUCCCAGUCUCCGCAGGUCCCAGCCCCUCGUGCAGUCACGAGUGCUGAGCCCUGACCUAGAGCAGCCUGCCAUGGCGGGGGGGAUUCCUCCUCUCUCCAUCAUUUUGGCUCCCAUCACUUUCUCUUUCCCUUCACUCCCAGGCUCCUCUGUCUUCUCCCUACAUAACACAUCACAGUCCAACCAAAUUAAUCACCCGCACUCAGUAUCCUCCCCAGGGGCCCUUUUUGGAGAAUCUGGCACAAUCGUCCUGUCACUCUCUCCUCCGCUGAAUCCCAGCAGUGGAGAGCUGCAGUUCCCGUCCGCACCACGUGAGGACCACUCUACCUGGGGCAGGAUGGAGGGCAGGGGAGAAGGGAAGGAAAUGCAAACCCGGCCCUCAGGUUCCGCCUCUGCUGGAGUGAGUUUGGCCUUCUCAUCCACCCUGCCUGCCGCUCACGUCUAUAUGUUGUGCAUGCCCUUCUUUCUCCAGAGAAUUCCAGAAGCAGAGUCCCAGUCAUCCUCCUCCAGGGUUGCCAGGGGAGGAACAAAGAACAAAGAAAAGCAGUGGAUAAAAAGAAGUGCGUGGGGACGCGCACAGGAUCCUCCAAGAGACAGGACAAGAAGGGAAGAGCUGCGUGUUUAUUUCUGGCUUCCCGAGUUGUUUAUUAUCAGCUUCUCUCAGGUAUAGCACACCCUCCACAUCCUCACCGACAAUUACCGAGGAAGCGUUCAACUAAUUUCCUCAACUCCAACUGCCUUUGGUACACUCUAAUUUUAACAUGACUCUCAGUUGAUUUGGUACGGAUGUAAAUAAGCUGAAAUGACAGCUGCCUGCCUGCCUGCCUGCCUGUCUAUGUGUCUGUCUGUCACGCUGUCCUUCACUGGGUGGGCCAGGAGAUGUGCAGAAUUUAGGGGCUGCCCCCCGCCUCUACUCUGAAAGUCCACUGGGCAGAACACAGGCUGCUCCUUGGUUCAGAGGACAGGACCCCUCCCGCUCCCCCACCAAACAUGACUUAAAUACCUCCAAUGCCAUCAGACAUUUGCAGUAUCCACAGGAGAAGCUAAGAGCUCAGAUGUCCACUACAUCCACUGACCAAUGCGGGGAAGUGGGUGCAGCGUAUGAGAGGGAUGGUGCCCGUGAAAGUCAGAAGAGACAGGAACUGAGGGGCUCACGCCAGCCAUUGGCAGAUAGGUAGCCAAACCUUUCCAGCAAGAAGGGUUGGGGUAAAGGGACCACUAAGGGGUACUCUGAGGAGUUCAGUCCCUGGGACCUUGGUAGGACUCCUGACAACUUGUCAGCCUACUAGGCUUCCUUGUCACUUGUCCCCUGCUUUCCAACACUCCUACCUGGAGUGUCUUCUUGUUAUCUAACCUCGAUCUUCCUUGCUGUAGCUCCCGCCUGUCUGUGCUUUUCUACCUUCAGUGGAGACAAACUGUUCACUCACUUUUGCUUUCUUGUAAAACUAAAGUGCUGCUUCAACAGUUACACCGGAACAUCUUCUACUAAGUCUAAAGAGCAUACAUAGUUUGAAAAUAACACGCACGCACACACAGAUUCGCAUUUCUGAACAAGAUGACUGCAUGCCUCCCAGUGCUCUAAGCUCCCUCUUCACCUACACGGUUUCAUUCGCUCUUCACAGCAGGGGCAUGAUCUGGAUACCCUGCAGGCUCCUCUUUUCUCUAUUGAAAGAAAAGAAGUUCUGCGAGGUUCAUUGGCUUCCCCGUCCUGCCCAGCUUAGAAGCCAGCCCAGACCCGGUCUUGGACCCCCCUAGGGCUGCAUUUUUACUGCAUGGGGCUUCUGUUCACUACAUGGCUACUCAAGGUUGUAUUACAGUGGGUAGUGUUGGGAUCCCCAGUCUUUGGAGCUGCCUGUUAAUCCAUUGAACCCCAACUGAUGGGGGUCUACUACGUCCUAGGCACCGGAUGGACGCUAAACAUGGCAGUUCACUGAUGAAUCAGCCAGAUACAGUCCUGAUAAAAGCAGCACCAGCACCUCACCACCCACCCCCACUAGUUGCCUUCUGACUUCCCUCUGCUCUGCAAAAUCAGAGCACCGUGCUCCCUGCCCUCCUCCAACCCUCCAAAUCAAGACCACAGCCGGGUAGGUGUCCCUGAGCAACUGCCCCAACCCACCAGUCCACACUGAAGGGCCCAAGACUAGCAGCUAAGUGCCUUCGUUUUUCUUUACAUUUCUAGAGAAUUUUUUUAAAGAGCAUUAAAUGUCCAAGCUUGAGCACAGAAGGACUUUCCCAAGGGAUCAUGGACACUGACAUAUGUAAGGGAAUUAAGUUCCAGAUCUGCAGCACCCAUUACACCCUCUCUCCUAAAACCCACCUGUCAUGGGACGAGUUUCCAUUGAGUGGUCAUGGUGUCCCCCCCACCCCUCUUCAGGAUUGCCUUUCUCCCCUUUUCCAAAAGAAAAGGAUUUGUCUCACCUGUUAUCAAUCGUGCUAUUGUACAUGACUGGUGAAAAGCUUAAAAAAAAAAAAAAAACAGCUUCUGAGCAUCAACUGGUGAUUCACGGUAUCAACCUAACAGCUGGGAUUUAGUGCAGCAAACACACUUUCUAGGUACUUUAAGCAAGAAGGGAUUUGGUGCAAGAAACUUGGUACCUGCAACAUAACCAGAGAGGCUGCGCGUGCGGGUUCUAAGAGGGAUCCCAUGGAAGGAUUCUAGAGCAGUAGAAAACUAGUGUGCAGGGCCCUGCUCCCAAAUGCCCAUGGAGCCCCCACCACUGCUAAGCAGCCCUGCACGCCAGGGGACCACAGAUUGGUCCCCAGAACUGUGAGCUAGUCACCAGAGAGUGACGUCAAAGCACUUGUCCGUGUCAUGGCUGUGUCUUGACACAAGGGAAGCUGAAGAAUAAACACUUGCAACUGUUGCA
rnacentral:lncRNA from 1 species